ACCUAGAAAUUCUCUCUUAGGAGCUGAUCAAAAUCAAACUAAGAAAUUUUUUACACAUGGUUCAGCCAGAGAAGCAGAACAACUGGAAGAUAAUUAGAAUUAUCAG
ensembl:lncRNA novel transcript